rnacentral:lncRNA from 1 species
CUGACUAAUUUCAGACUGGCUUAAGCUAGAAAAAAAAUACAAAAUAGAAAGAAAACCUCUCAGUUUCAAUACUGGACAUGCCAGAUGGUACUAAUUUGAACACAUCAUUCCAUGCUUCCUGGAGUAAUCACACAGCUUGCUUAGAUUUUCUAAACAUGACUGAACUGUGAUGAAGCGAUCAACAUUAACUGCCAAGACUCCACAUAGCAAUGAUGUGCUGGCCACCCACUGGGAAAACACCUGUCACCCCUUGAUGGACCUUUCUGACACUGUUUGCCUGUCCUCAAAAGUUCCUGAAAUAUUUACCAGUCAGCAUCUUGGAAAAAACAAAUAAUGGGGCCUUCUCAGAGUGAGGAAGCUUCCUGGAGGGUCAUCAGGACACUACAGAAGAGCUAAUCCAACAUGGAUCUCUAAAACUAUGCAAUUAAGACGAGUGUGGUGGCUCACACCUGUAAUGCCGGCACUUCGGGAGACCAAGGCGGUUGGAUCACUUGAGACCAGGAGUUUAAGAUGGGAUAUCCUCUCCCAACCCAUCCAGCAACCUCUAUAACAGGGGUCCCCAAUCCCAGCGCCACGGACUAGUACCAGCUGGUGGCCUGUUAGGAACUGGGCCACACAGC